CUUCGCCCCGUCCCGUCCGCGCAGCGCGUCCGGCCCGCCCGCAGGCCAGCUUCUCUCGGGAGCCCCCACCCAGGCGCAUGGCUCCAUGAAGCAAGAGGAGGAGGCAGAGCGCGAGAGGUCCCGUCCGCCCCAGCCGCGUCUGGGCCAGGAUAAAAGCAAAACCAUAUUCCUGCUGCUGUCAGUUAUGAUGCACUGAGAAAACUUCAGAGACCUAAACUUUUUCCAGAGAAGAGAAGCUUUACUGGUGUUCCAGCCCUAAGAAACCUUUGUUCAAGAAAACGGCAGAUGCUCUGUUGAAUCCACUGGAGAUUGUUCUGAUACUAAGGACAAGUAUCAACCAUCUUUCCUGUGAAAAAUUCCCUCUCGUACUUUAGUUCUGUGGAUCCAAAAUUUAUAGCAUUCUUCUACCACCACAGGGGCUCAUAUGACAUUAACAGACAAGACACUUUUCAGAAAGACAGGCAACGUGUUGGACCUUCCGGAGCUUCUCAGAAGACAGAGGGUUUUCUUUUGAGGAUUUAAACCUCAGACACAGGGAGCUGACCUAUUCACCUUAGAAUCCUCUGGGGCACCCAUUACAGUGUCUGUACCAAGGAGGCAACAAAGAACGGCGGAACAGACUGGAGCAGAAGGACCACCCAGCAGAGCCAAGCCAAAUCACUGACCCUCAGAGGCCUGAUGUGAAUGCUUAUGGCUUCAGUCCAUUGGAUUCUGCAGUAAUCUGCCGAUCUACAGUAUUACCACAGUAAAUAACCGAUAGACCUGAAAACGAAUGCAUGCCUUGUGCCAAAAUUGCAGGAAACCUCACCAGGAGAAACAAUUUUAUAUGAGGGAAUGUACUCUCUCCUUUGCAUUUUCCCUCAAAUCUAUAUUUUUAGCCCCUCACUUGUCUCUACAGAGCCUCAGUUGCUUAAUCUAAUUGCUGACUGAACAUCUCCAGGAAACUGUGUGUACGUGUUUGUAUUCAUAGUAUAUUUAUUUAUUAUCUGUUUACUUCCAUGGGAUAUAGUCUCCAUAAGAGAGUAGUCAUCAUUGUAUUUGUUGAUGCUUAAUAAAUAAUCAUUGAAUGGGCCGGGUGUGGUGGCUCAUGCCUGUAAUCCCAGCACUUUUGGAGGCCGAGGUGGGCAGAUCACAAGGUCAGGAGAUUGAGACCAUCCUGGCUAACAUGGUGAAACCCUGUCUCUACUAAAAAUACAAAAAAUUAGCUCGGUGUGGUGGUGGGUGCCUGUAGUCCCAGCUACUCAGGAGGCUGAGGCAGGGGAAUGGCUUGAACCCAGGAGGCGGAGCUUGCAGUGAGCCGAGAUUGCGCCACUGUGCUCCAGCCUGGGUGACAGAGCGAGACUCUGUCUCAAAAAAAAUAAAAAAAUAAAAAACAAUAAAAUAAUCAUUGAAAGAAGGAAUCAAAGAAUGUGGUCCCGGGUUGGGUGCCCUUAGUUCAGUCCCUGAGAAUUUAUGAGUAUAAUGUUUUGCUUUUUAAAAAGUGAAAAAAGGGAGCAUAGUUUCAUUGAAGGAGAAGUUAAACUAUGACUCAGGCCCCCAAACAGUCUCACCUGACCCCAUAUGCUGCUGUUGGACUAAAAUGUCUCAAUAGAACUGUCCUUAGUCAGCCGCUUUACACCUGCUUGGAUUAGCCACUGGAUAUGAAGCUUCCCCAGAAAGUGGAGAGAACUCAGCAAGGGUGCUCUCCAUAGCUGAAGCAACCCUGGGAGGGCCUGAGAGCCAAGUCUAUCUUCCAACAGUAUUCCCAGCAAAUGGUGAAACAAGUCAUUCAUCAAGGAGGGAUCUAGGUGGCUGAUGCCUGCAUCAACCACAGUCUGCCUCUGUUCAGCUUGAAUCCAUUUCUUCAUUUGUAGUCUGAGGGUGUAAGACAAAUGCAUGUGUCUGUGUGUUCAGGAUUGUAGGAGGUGGAGGUCUGUAUGUUUAGGGUAGUGUGUCUUUGUGCAUACAAAGUUGGAGUUUGUAUGUAUGAAUUUAGGGAGUUUGAGGGGCUGUAUAUGUAUUAGGGAGGAAAGCCACCACAUAUGUUUGUGGUAGAGUUGGAGUUUUGUGUAUAAUGUGAGGAUUCUUUUGGAUUAUAUGUGUUCUGGACUGUGGGUAGUUUAUGUGGAUAUUCAGAGUAUGUGUAGGGAGCAUGUAUAUGUAUUUGAAGGAGGGUAAGGUUAUGUGAAGUAUGUGUUGAAUUCUGGUGGGAUGAGGCAUGUGUGAAUUCAUAGCUUCUGCAGGUUUUAUGCAGCUGGCCUGAGAAGGUUGGAGUGUCUAAUAUAUGCAUUUGGAGAUUGGGAGUUGGUGUGUCUGUGCAUUUAUUUGGAUCAUGGAAGGUUGUAGAUGUGUAUUUCUAACUGUAGAUGAUUGAGGAUGCAUAUUUGGGGAGUUUUGAGAGGACGUGUAUGUGUGUGUGUGUGCAGUGUGGUAUUUCUCUGUUUUUGAGGGUGGGGUAUGCAUCCAUCAAAAUAUCUCAGAUUAUCUGAUGUAAGAAAAUAAUUCUGCAUCUCAGUGACUUCCAACAAGGUAGGUUUCUCAUGUAUGUUAUGUGUCCUCCAUUGGUUGGCUUUGAUCAGUUACUGGUCCUGUGUCUUGGAUCCAGAUGGAUGGAGCAGCCUCAUUUGGGACAGGACUAGAAGGACUUCUUCUGCUCAGAGUCAUAUAUGGCAUUUCUGCUCACAUUUCAUUUGCCAUAACAAGUCAUGUGGCCAUACUCGAGUUAAACAGACUAGGGAUGUAUAAUCUCUCAGACAGAGAUACCACAGAGAAGGACCAUGAAUACUCUUCAUAGUGAUACAUCUGCCCCAUUGUGUAUACAUUCAGAACAUGUUCCAUUGCUGUGUUUAUAUUUCACUAAGGAGUAUGGGGAGUUGAUGAGGGAGUGUGUUUAGGUGUGUGAAGGCUGGUGUGUGACGAGGCAUUGGCAGGUGUGGGAUAUUUUUAUACUAACACAUUUUGGGGAUUUGUAUCUGUUUUGGGUAUUUGUAUUCUGUGUCAUGUAUAUGUGUUAUAUAUUUAAGAUAUAUAUUUAUGUAGGUAGGUUAAGUAUUCAGUGGUGUCAGAAAUGUGUUUUUAGGGGAAUAUGGGUGAGUUUUUAGUAUAUUACAGAAGCAUAGUGGGUUUUGGGUUUAUUCUGAGGGUACUGGAUAGUUAUGUGUUCCUAUUUGAAUGGUGUGUGUGUAUUUGCAUGCUGGGGGUGGUUUUGUGUAUUUUGACGGUACUGUGAGAUAUUGUGAAUAUGUGUGCAUACAUUUGAAAAGGCAGGUAAUGUUCUAUGUUUUAAUGCUUUGUGUUUUGGAUUUGUGUGUAUUCAGAGUAGAGGACUUUAUGCUUACGGUGUCUAGAUGAGAAUUUAGAUGUACAUUUUUGGUGUGAAGAAUUUGGAGGCAGAGAGAUGGCUGGGUGUAUUUGGGUGUUACCACUACAUGUAUGUAACCUGAGGAUAUGGACAGAAUAUUUAUAGUUUUCAAGAUGGAGGCUUGUGUAUGUUUGUAUUUGGGAGUAUACGGCCAUGUGUGUAUUUGGAUCUGUGAGUAUAUCGUGGGUGUGUUAUUCAAGCAUCUGCAUGUUUGAGUUUGUGUAAUCUGAAGAGUGUGAAUUUAUUCAGGAAAUGUGGUGGCUGUGCGUCCACUCUAGAGCUGUGAGUGUGUGGUCUGUGCUUCUACCAGGAGAGUAUAGGAUAAUUUCCUCUUUUUUUCUAUUUUUAUAACAUUUUAUGUAACUCAUAAAACAGUGUUUGUAUAAAAAUUCACACAAAGUUGCUAGAGAGCAUACGAUUUCCAAAAAUGUCCUGGGUUUUUCAUUACAUUAAGUUUUUCUAAGGAUGCACUCAAAUCAAUGGUAAAAUGCAGACAUUAUGUGACACUUCAUUAUCUUUAGCAAAACUAUUCUCACUACUUUGUCUCCUCACAGUAUUAACUCUGAUACCCACUUUGUGCAGGGUUUGCUAGUACUAGGAUGUCACAAAACCAUUAAGGCUGGAUCUACAAGAGGCAAAUAUUUCCAAACAGCAGUAAUAGCCCCUUGGCCCCCACCCCCACUUCAUAUAUCCAUACAGUCUGUCUACACAGUGAGGCAGGGUGCAAGCUCACCACCACUUGGGAGUCUCAAGAUCCUCCCUCUAUUGGGUGAGAAGCAAACAUUUGGGGAAAAUGUUGGAAACUGAGGCCGUCUCUACAGGAAACCACGUGGCCAUGCUCUAGUGUUUUUGGGUCAGCGACCCUUACCAAUUAAACGGCCACUCAGUACAUUCAUAACUAUCUUCAUUCUUUAAAAACUUACUAACAGAGAAACCAAUGAACCCUACCACCUACUGUGACUUACUAGUUCAGUCAACAUCAAAACGUGUCUGCUAAUUUUUUAGUCCUUGGGAUACAAGACAAAAAAAAACAAACAAGUAAAAACCAAAGAAUUUAGACAGGGGGAAGGAAAGGGAUUGCCAGUAGAUUUCAUGGAACACAUUAAAUUUUGAAAAAAAUCAGUAUUUUCUACUUCUCUUCCUUCGUGUAAAAAGUUUAAAAUAAAAAAAUGCCCACUGGAGCCACCUGUAUGGAUGGAGAAGUGAGGACAUGAUAUAGACAGGGCACAGGACCUGCAGUCGUUUCCUGACGACAGUCCAGAGGGACAGGAAUAGUUCCCAGGAUGUGUCCAUUUCUCUUCACAGAAAGGGACUGUAACAUUUUGAGGCAAGAAGCCCUACACGUGAAAGGUGUUAAGAAAAUCAUCACUGAAAUAUGGUUUCCAAAAAUUGAGCAUGCUCUAGGUUACAAACAGACAUAUUUAAUUCCUAGAACUUGUUGAACUUCUCUGACAUGGGUAGAUGGGAAUUUCAAAAGAGUUAUUAAUAAUUGUGGUUCUAAAGUUGCAGGGUCAACAUUUCACCCUCUAGAAAGCAGGGCAAUUCAGGGCUUAGAGUCUUCUUGUUUACAUCAUAGAAACCAGAACAAAUUUCAUGGGACCCCUCAGCCCCAACAACCAGCGGCCAGGUGGAGAGAAGGCCACAGCUGUCUUUGGGUAGGGAGCCUGUGUGUGCAUGCUGUGUGCAUGUGCUGGAGAGACUAAGGCAUAGAGAAGGGCCCAAGCAAUGAGGUAAAGUGAGUCUCCUGGCUGCGCUAGUCCCUUCUUUCCAGGCACAAAGAAGUUGAACUUGUUAUUCAUGUAGGCCCCCUUCCUCUCACCUCAGCUUUUAGUAAGCAGUGUGUGUGUGCACGAGUAGCUGUGUGUGACAGAGUAAGUCCCUGUGCCUUUCUAGAUUUCAGCAAUUCAGGUUUGCAGUUUCAACAGAAAUAAUCUGUAAAUGACACGAGCAAAUUUACAAGUUAGAUUAGCAACUUUACAUUGCUUAAAAUCUGAUAUUAUAUUUUUAAAAAUGCCUCUGGGUACAGGCAAAAUUAUGUCAUAUGGCCACUGGAACUGAAGUCCUUACCAGCUAUGUGAAGAAUAUUCAGAUUGUUUCUGUUAUCUCUGCAUUUUAAAGUAGCAAAAUACUAAGCCAUUAGGUUAUUGAACCUGUAAUAUUCCCACAGGGGUUUUAUGUCUACCCCAUGGGAUUCAAUUAAUUUUCCUGGACCCUGGUUAGACUGUUUCCUUUCCCUCUUAGGCAUUUGGCCCCCAAAGUUAGGUAGGUAAAAGUGUCAUUUUUAAAGAUUUUACCUGUCAGGGAAUUUCCUGGUUGGUGCUCCUGGAAAGCAUGCAGCUGGCCGGCGGGAGUCUGACAUUCUCAGUCAGUGGGGAGAGAAGACAUGUGUCUCCCAAAGCCAAGAGGUAGCCAGGUGGAGGACAGCAGGACUUUCUAGGGGGUCCAAGGGGAAAGUUCUGAGUGGACCCUGGGAAGGGACAUGGGUGCCCCAUCUGAGAUGACCUGUGUCCUUCCAAUGCCUGGUAUCCCCAAGAGGGGCCCAGACAUGGACCGCCCUGGGGAACGAGGAUGUGGUGCUGCCUGGAGGAGCUAACACUGAGGUUUGGGGAAGUCACCACACAGCUCCCAGAACCCAGAAUCUCUGACAAGCAACCAUGUGUGGAGAGGGAAUGGGGACAGUGGAAGGACACAGCUCAAAUGAAGACACUGCGGACAUGUUUCCAUGGCUUUCUACAUUCUUCAUCAUCAUCGAGUGUUCUCCUCUACACAGUGAGCACAACAUUUUACCCACGUGCCUGAUGGACAGGCCAAGCUGAAUGGAAGCCUUCUGAGGCACUGGAGCAGAAGGGAAAACUUGCACAUGGUCGCAAAGGACUUCACACUGUUCCAUCCCCUCUACUGCCAUCCAAGAGGCCUCUUGACUCUUCCAGAAUCAGAUGUAAAAGACAAGGUCAGUAAAAUCAGUAUCCAUGUCACCUGAAGCUAUGAUUAGGCAUUGUACACGAACAUGGCACUUUUAUUUACUUAUUUAUUUAUUUAUUAUUUAUUUUGAGACGGAGUUUUGCUCUUUUCGCCCAGGCUGGAGCGCAGUGGCGCUAUGUUGGCUCACUGCAACCUCUGCCUUCCGAGUUCAAGUGAUUCUCCUGUCGGCCUCCUGACUAGCUGGGAUUACAGGCACCCACCACUACGCCUGGCUAAUUUUUGCUUCUUUUUUUUUUAAGUAGAGAUGGGGUUUCACCGUUGGCCAGGCUGGUCCUGAACUCCUGACCUCAGGUAAUCCACCUGCCUUGGCCUCCCAAAGUGCUGGGAUUACAGGCAUGAGCCACCGUGCCUGGCCUGAAGAUGGCACUUUUAAAAAGAUUUUUUUCUAAGUAAAAUGGCCCCCAAAGAGCCCAAUGAUUUUUUUAAGGGUUUAUUUUUCAUUUUAAAAAAACUGGAUAAAAAUGAAAGCUGUAAAAUAUGGGAAGAGGAGCAAGAGAGCUGCUGAGUUUGCAUUUGAAAUUGUGAGGGGCUGGGGAGGACACGACCAGGUAGAGAGGACCCCUACCCACUAGUCCCUGCUCUCACAGCUUGCGCUCCCCACACUCAGGCUGCACCACCAGGGAACACAGGACAGAAGUCUAGAGGACAAGAGACCAAACUCAAGUCUUCUUUCUUGUGGUUGGUUGGGUGUUUACAUGUGCAAGUGUAGUAAGCCACACCCCACAGACAUAAGGUGCCUGUCUGUGGAUGCCAUAGGCAUGCUCCUAAGCUCAGUCUCUGGUGACCCCGAGUCUCUGGGCAGGCCACGGGCCUUCACUUCUCCACUUUCUUGGCUUUCUUGAGGAUGUUGCAUU
rnacentral:lncRNA from 1 species